rnacentral:rRNA from 1 species
ACGGCUUGCUUACACAUGCAAGUCGAACGGUAACAGGUUAAGCUGACGAGUGGCGAACGGGUGAGUAAUAUAUCGGAACGUGCCCAGUCGUGGGGGAUAACUGCUCGAAAGAGCAGCUAAUACCGCAUACGACCUGAGGGUGAAAGCGGGGGGAUCGCAAGACCUCGCGCGAUUGGAGCGGGCCGAUAUCAGAUUAGGUAGUUGGUGGGGGUAAAAGCCCACCAAGCCAACGAUCUGUAGCUGGUCUGAGAGGACGACCAGCCACACUGGGACUGAGACACGGCCCAGACUCCUACGGGAGGCAGCAGUGGGGAAUUUUGGACAAUGGGCGCAAGCUGAUCCAGCCAUGCCGCGUGCGGGAAGAAGGCCUUCGGGGUGUAAACCGCUUUUGUCAGGGGAGAAAAGGGUCUGGUUAAUACCUGGGACUCAUGACGGUACCUGAAGAAU